rnacentral:rRNA from 1 species
GAGUUUGAUCCUGGCUCAGGACGAACGCUGGCGGCGUGCCUAAUACAUGCAAGUCGAGCGAGCUUGCCUAGAUGAUUUUAGUGCUUGCACUAAAUGAAACUAGAUACAAGCGAGCGGCGGACGGGUGAGUAACACGUGGGUAACCUGCCCAAGAGACUGGGAUAACACCUGGAAACAGAUGCUAAUACCGGAUAACAACACUAGACGCAUGUCUAGAGUUUGAAAGAUGGUUCUGCUAUCACUCUUGGAUGGACCUGCGGUGCAUUAGCUAGUUGGUAAGGUAACGGCUUACCAAGGCAAUGAUGCAUAGCCGAGUUGAGAGACUGAUCGGCCACAUUGGGACUGAGACACGGCCCAAACUCCUACGGGAGGCAGCAGUAGGGAAUCUUCCACAAUGGACGAAAGUCUGAUGGAGCAACGCCGCGUGAGUGAAGAAGGGUUUCGGCUCGUAAAGCUCUGUUGGUAGUGAAGAAAGAUAGAGGUAGUAACUGGCCUUUAUUUGACGGUAAUUACUUAGAAAGUCACGGCUAACUACGUGCCAGCAGCCGCGGUAAUACGUAGGUGGCAAGCGUUGUCCGGAUUUAUUGGGCGUAAAGCGAGUGCAGGCGGUUCAAUAAGUCUGAUGUGAAAGCCUUCGGCUCAACCGGAGAAUUGCAUCAGAAACUGUUGAACUUGAGUGC